rnacentral:rRNA from 1 species
GACGAACGCUGGCGGCGUGCUUAACACAUGCAAGUCGAACGGAAAGGCCCUGCUUUUGUGGGGUGCUCGAGUGGCGAACGGGUGAGUAACACGUGAGUAACCUGCCCUUGACUUUGGGAUAACUUCAGGAAACUGGGGCUAAUACCGGAUAGGAGCUCCUGCUGCAUGGUGGGGGUUGGAAAGUUUCGGCGGUUGGGGAUGGACUCGCGGCUUAUCAGCUUGUUGGUGGGGUAGUGGCUUACCAAGGCUUUGACGGGUAGCCGGCCUGAGAGGGUGACCGGCCACAUUGGGACUGAGAUACGGCCCAGACUCCUACGGGAGGCAGCAGUGGGGAAUAUUGCACAAUGGGCGGGAGCCGGAUGCAGCAACGCCGCGUGCGGGAUGACGGCCUUCGGGUUGUAAACCGCUUUCGCCUGUGACGAAGCGUGAGUGACGGUAAUGGGUAAAGAAGCACCGGCUAACUACGUG